rnacentral:tRNA from 1 species
ACCUGAAUAGUUUAAUUAAAAUAUUGAUUUGUGGUGUCAAGGAUGUAAUUCGUUACUUCGGGUA